UGCAAGAAGAGAAGGAAUCUGUUUGGCCAGCACAAUUUGUUCCUCAAAUGGGUGGAUAUAAUUGGAUGUAUCCCUUACUUUGAUUAAACCACAAGACUUCUAACUCAGAGAUGACAUUCUUUUGUCCUGGCUGAAUGUAAAAGAAACUUCCAUGCAACAAUGAGAAUCGAAAUCAGGGAUUCCUGCAGCUGAAAGCAAGAUGGCCAGGGAGGGUAGUGCCUUGACCAGAGAUGAAGACAUAAGCUUGUGGCAACCUUAAUUGGACAAUAGGAACUCUGAAGAUGCCAACUUCUGACUGCAUCAUCACCAGAUUUGUGAAUGAGCCAUUGCAGAUUCUUCUUAAAUCCGGAUGUGUUGGGAAAAGGCAGAAAAUACUACUACUUUAAAACUGGAAUAGCUAAGGAACAAUUUAGGGUGCCUCUAUGGGUAGACUGGAGAUAAUCAAAAGCUGCAUCAGAAAAACAUAUCCUUUAAAAAUGAUUUGUGAGAUGUCUUUAUACCGUGGGUGAAUCUGAAUCUGGAGUGUGUUUCCUAUACAAUUGUUUUCCUUUCCCAAAAGAAAAAAUGAAAUUGUGAUUCAGAUCUAUUUUUAUGUAAAAUCCUAUAAAACCCUGCUGUAACAUGCUUAUUUGGGGAACAACAAGAUGUGUUGUUCUGAGGAUUAGGUUAGUGAUGGCUCAUGUAAAAUUGUACUGUUAAAUCCUUCACCUAAUUCGAGAUUAGUUUUUAAAUAAUCCCUAUUUGUAUUGUCCUACAGAAGU